UAGAAUAGAAGGUCAUGAUGGAAAAUUCUGAGAUUGUUUUUCCCCCUAAAAUAUUAUAUCCAUUAAAAGAGAAAACUGGCAUGCUAAAUUAUAUGACUAUAUGACUAAAAAGUUUAAACAAACUUCAUCUCUCUUCCCUUUCUUUCUUUCUCAGCUUCAGUUUCUGCCUUAUCAUCUCCAAUAAGGACCUUGGCUAAGAAACAAUGUCAGAUGAGCCCUUCCUAUUACUACAAUUUAAAGAUUCAAAUUCUAUUUAUUACUUUUUUUUCAUUAUUGGCAAAAAUCUUGGAAUACUAGUAUUCACAAUUAUGACAUACGUCCUAUAUGCCUCUGGGAGCAAAAUUUACGGAAAACCCCUUCAAGGCGCAGUUCUAGCACCCAUAAGUUCUGCCAAAUUUCUCGGCAAGGUCACGACUUCUUCACCCGAGAAGCGCACAAUCUUGCUGAUGAUACAAAUGAAGGGCGUAGAAGAGCAUCGAAGCUUAGAAAAGAAUCUCAUCACGCAUCUUGCAAGCGAGAUAGAAUAGUCCCACUCGCAGGAAAUCCAUACUUCACGUCAAUCUUUGUGAAAAGCCAAAUCAGUGAACUGGUAAUUAUCUCCGUGCUUUUGUAACUAUGAAUUGGGGAAACUAUCCAAUGAUUUUUGCUCACCACAUAGAUAAAGCAUCAAACACUGUUUAUCAUUGAAUCUAUUCCUCUAUAUAAACAGGAGAACCUACAGUAAAUACUGCAAAACAAUUAUUGUAGCAUUCUUACUGUAGCAAUCAGGAAAUUGUAAUUUUUUUUGAAAAAAUACUGCAGCCUACGGAAAACAAGGUAGCAUUUUUAAAAAUCACUAUAGCAGAGCGGGAUACUGUAGAAUAUCAAAAAAAAUUAAAAAGCCAUUGUAGCAUUUUAAAUCGGGAUUAAUGUAGCGGGAAAAAAAGAUAUGUCGUGCUUUGCACAGUGUUCACACUAGUUAGUGCAAUACGAAGGACCUAAGGGACUAAUGCAUCGAUCAAAGGUUUAUUUCACACUAAUAUUAUUGGUUUAGUAAGCAUUAUCAGGCAAGUGGUAAAGGUGUUAGCACGUGAUAUGUGACUAAGGACCUGCAAGCUUGAGGUAUAUGCUUUGGCCAAUUAUUUAAGUAAAGCACUCAAAUAUUAUGAUUUGUAAAGUAUUUUGUGUGAUUCAAAGAAUACACUUGUUAUAACCAAAUAAGAAAACAAAUUUAACUUUGCAACGUCUCAUUAUCACACUCAAUCUUCCAGCGGUAGGUACUUGAUGCAAAAUUUUCUCUCUUUUUUAUGACAUUAAGGUGAUUCCCAAGGGUUUUCGUGCGUUAGGUACUUGAUGCAAAAUUUUCUCUCUUUUUUAUGACAUUAAGGUGAUUCCCAAG